GUAAAAGGAUCACAAGAAGAUCAGACAGAGGACCAGGACUUGGAGUGAGGAUGUCAAUGUCAGAAGUCUCAAGAAGCCAGAAGAGGAUUUUAGCCCCAUAUGGCUCACUUUUCACUUCUGAUGUACAGAACACUGAUAUCGACAGACAGAGGAGCCCUGACGAUGUGAAACUGCCUCAGGCCAGUCCUCGUCCCAAGAAGAAGCUGCUGUGAAGCCACUGAAGCAAAAGGAACAGGAAAGGAAUUCGAGGAGAAGUUGGAUGGCCAGGCUUGAGGACCUUGCGUAUACAGCCAUGGUGACCAGGAUGUGGCCUUGAUCCCAAAUGCCAGGUUCACAUUCCAGACUCCCAGAGGAACCUGUGGAAGUCUGGAAGCUCUUCUUGCAACACUUAUCUAAAACUGGUUUGAUGGUUUUAAGCCAUCCAUCUACUACUUGAGGAUAUAGCUGUUUUAUCCCAAAGUUCCAUGGCUGAGAGAAGUCUUCUGACUGCUGAUCCACACUUGGAACAUUAAGAAGCAGUUCAGAUCUGCUUACCUCAGGAGCAUAAACAAGAAGGAAGAUUCAGGCAUCCUUCAUAUCAAGAUCAGCUCCACACUGCAUAUUUGCCUUAGCUUUUCUAACCUGGUUCUAAGGAUCCCAACAAGGGCCAAUGUGACAUGUCCAAGCUGGCUUCCAGAUCCUGGGGUCCUACGUGGUCCUCACCUCCCCUUAACCUGCCAAUAGUUAUCAUCCAUGCCCUUGACAUAGAGAGACAGACAUGCUGUACAAACUGCAAUAAGAGAGGACAUUCCAGAUAUAAACUGUAACAUCCAGGAAGUCCUGGCUUCAGUCCCAGGGCCCUGCCUCCUACAAGGCACACAGACAUCCAGAAGAGCACACAGUAGGAAUGUAUUCUUUUCAGUAUGCAUGUGGCAGGUUCCUUGAAUGUGUGCUGAGAAGUCAGAAUGUUCCAAGAACUACACAUGUGCUGGGGACAUAAUCAAGGGAGAGAGGCAAAGUGAAGGUGGAGUGGAGACUGCUUCGGUCUGGGUAAAGGAGAGUCUGGCAGGCUGGGGGAAGUGGGAGGACAGGG